rnacentral:misc_RNA from 1 species
GGCUUUUUUUUUUUUUUUUUUCCUUUGCUACGGUGCCGUUUAAUAGGAAUAGAUUCUUGGGGCUACGACCAAGAAACGAUACUCUCAGGAAAUAGAGCGUGUCCAAACAUGCAAAUCACGCGGUGUUAUUUUUCAUCUCAUGGUGGGCUCCAAUUUCCGUGGAGAAAUCAGCGGUAAAAGGCGUGAGUUUGUUUUCCUGGUGGGUGGUUUAUUUUAGUUGAUUGCGGGAACGAAUGUUUAGCGCAACAAAUUGCGCGAUUCCAUGAAACACGAGAAAUGAGCGACGCUCAUCUCGUCCCACGCGCCCGCACUCAAAGGGCCACAAGCAAAGGACACGUUUGCAAUGGCAUUAUUUUUUUUUUUUGAAUUUUAAAAGAAG